GUAACACAGUAAAAAAAAUGAUAAAAGGUAAAUGUGCAACUAUGUGUACGAAGAUGAAUAUGAGGAGGUGGUGCCUGCUGUCUAGGUAUUCACGUGCGUGUUGUCGUACAGCAGUCACCGUGCUCGGCUGACACUCCGGGUUAGCUGUGGGUGUCGAAAGGCUGUUGUUAUAGGAAGGGAGAAUAAGAGUAACACCUAGGUAUGAGGUGCAGACGAAGUGCAAGACACAAAUACUUGGGGUAUAGGAGAGGACAAUGAAGUACGAGGUGCAGACGAAGUGCAAGACACAAGUACUCCAAAGAGAGAACGGGGUAGCCGAGUAUAAGGUGCAGACGAAGUGCAAGACACAAAUACUGGGCGUACCAGAUAAGGAGUAUAACAAAGUACGAGGUGCAGACGAAGUGCAAGACACAAGUACUCUGAAAUGUCGAGGAAAAGAGUAUAUAGGUUAGAAAAGGGAUAAACAAAGACUUUACUUUAAACAGUAAGCCGGACAGCGACAACCGAGUACUGAGACUGAUGAAUGACACAAGGCACUGGAGUCGACUGACCACGAUGGUCAGGUCUAUUGGGUUUUUAUAAUAAUUACACCUAUUGCCGAUUUGGCAAUAAAUAUUAUUUGUUAAUUCACCAGUCUCAGGCAGCGGAUGUGCUGUCUGUAUUUUAUUAAAAUAAUUCUCACGAUUAUGAAAACG